rnacentral:rRNA from 1 species
UACGUAUGGAGCAAGCGUUAUCCGGAUUUACUGGGUGUAAAGGGAGCGUAGACGGUGAGGCAAGUCUGAUGUGAAAGGUGUGGGCUCAACCCGCAAACUGCAUUGGAAACUGUCCCACUAGAGUGUCGGAGAGGUAAGUGGAAUUCCUAGUGUAGCGGUGAAAUGCGUAGAUAUUAGGAGGAACACCAGCGGCGAAGGCGGCUUACUGGACGAUAACUGACGUUGAGGCUCGAAAGCGUGGGGAG